CGAGAACCAGUCGCCUCAAAGUCGCCGAGCCGCUGUCCUCGUCGAUCUCUCGAAAAUCAUUUUUUUCUCAUUUUUUCAAAACCUUUUCCCGACGUUUUCGCCACGAUUUCGAGGCGAGCGGUGAACGGGAGAUCGCGACCUCCGUGACUUCGAGAUCAUUCAAUGAUAAUUGUGUGCUCGUAUCUCUCGAGACAUUCGCCAUUCAACGACGAAGCACUUGCAAGUGAUGUCCGAUCGAACAAAAUAAUGGGUCAGUGAUUGAGGAACCUCGGAAUAAAAAUAAACGAUUGUAAACAAACAAGAUAUUUGUGGUGAAAAGACCGGGAAAAUAUUUAUGAAUGAAAGGCUACGAGGGAGUGCGCGUUAUGACCGAGCGUGGCGACGGUACCGCCACCUCGGGGCAAAACCGACGCGACGUUUACGGCAAGAGGCGUGAAUUCUUCAAAAAUAUGUCAGAGUUUCCGGCCGAAGGAGCCGAAAACGGAGACAUGCAGGCAGUCAUGGAAAAUUUUCAGAAGAAAAAUAAUCUCAUCACUGGACGAUCGCACUCGCAUCAUCCGCAGGUCACGUCCUCUUCACAGAUACUGACGAACCAGAGCCAAACGAGCAGCUCGAGCAGCAGCAGAGUGGCCAAAUCCUCUCAGAGGAUUCUUACCUCGUCGUCGUCGAGUGAAAUGAAAGCGAGCUCCAUGAAGAGCGACCUCACUGAGUUGAAACGAGGAAUUUCUGAAAUGAAAAAUAUGUCGACUAACUUUUCACAACGGUUGAGAAGCAGCAUGGAGAAUCUCGUCGACAGAGACGGGAGCGGCCCUGAGGAGAACGAUUUGUCCGAGCCGCUUGUUACGUUUCCGGAUCCGGAUACGCCACCCCCGGUCACCGGAACUGUCACUCUCUCCGGAUCACCUUCGCAACUCAGUAGCCUCAAUUCUCUCAACAAUCUUCACAAUAUGAGCCCCACUAUCAAUAUGUCCAAUAUGCCGAACAUGUCUUCCCUACCGGCUGGACCGGAAACCAUGAAGUUCGAACAGAAAAAAGUUACGAGUGCUUCAAAAACAAAGGUCGUCACUGAUGGCUUCAGUGCGGAAAAAGCGACUGCGAAUAGCGCCGAAAUGAGGGCGCUUCAAGCCGGUGAUGUAUCCUACAAAGAGCAAAGCGCAGCUACAGCGGCGAGAGCAAGAGUGGAAAUGGACGGUGUAUCGGCGGAAAAGAGUGUUGCAUCGGCCAUGGAACAAAGAAGCUUGAAAGCUGGCGAUCUCUCUCAUCAGGAAAGCAACAACGUGGCUGCCUCGUCGAUGAAACUUCAGAGCGAUUCCUUCACAUCCGAAAAGAAAGCAAUGGCGGCUCAGCAGCAAAGACAGACGGUCUCUUCAUCCGGUAUCUACAAUCACGAGAAGCACAUGGCAUCAUCCUCUCAAUCGAGUAUAACGAUAGCGUCGAAGGGAGUGACGUCGAAAUCAUCUAUGAUAACAGCGGCAUCAGCGGUGAAUCAACUGAUGAACGGAAUGCGUCCCGGUGACGACGAAUUACUGUCAUUGCCGUUGGACGAUUUGGAUGAUUUGUGUUCGAAUUCAAAUACUCAGGACGUCGGAACGGCGAUAGCUAAAUAUUCGGGGUUUUUGAAUAACUGCGUGGAACGUUUGAAAGCGAACGAUUCGUCGAAAAGCGGAAAAGCACCGUUAUUGUUGAACCGUGUGAAUGAAAUAAUCCGGAAGGCAUGGGCAGUGCCGACGCACGGCCACGAGCUUGGUUACACGCUGUGCAAUACUUUAAGAACGACAGGAGGCCUUGAACUUUUGAUGACGAAUUGUGAGGCGAGCGAUCACGAGUUACAAUUUUCAUCGGCGCGUCUUCUGGAGCAAUGUUUAACAACGGAAAAUCGUGCUCACGUGGUAGAGAACGGUUUGGAAAAAGUGGUGACGGUCGCUUGUGUUUGUACGAAAAAUGCGAAUUCGGUUGAUCACGCGAGAGUCGGGACCGGAAUAUUGGAACAUUUGUUCAAACACAGCGAAGGCACGUGCAGCGAUGUCAUUAGAUUGGGAGGACUCGACGCUGUUCUCUUCGAGUGUCGUAAAAAUGACGUUGAAACGCUACGUCACUGCGCGGGUGCGUUGGCCAACUUGUCGUUGUACGGAGGUGCGGAAAAUCAAGAAGCCAUGAUCAAGAGAAAAGUUCCCGUGUGGUUAUUCCCGCUAGCAUUUCACAACGACGACAAUAUCAAGUAUUACGCUUGUCUAGCGAUCGCCGUUCUCGUAGCCAACAAAGAGAUCGAAGCUGCGGUCCUCGAAUCCGGGACUUUGAAUCUCGUCGAGCCGUUCGUCACCUCGCACAAUCCCUACGAAUUUGCCAAAUCGAAUCUCGCUCACGCUCACGGACAAAGCAAAAAUUGGCUCGAACGCUUGGUACCGGUGCUGAGCUCGAAACGAGAGGAAGCCAGAAACUUAGCUGCUUUCCACUUUUGUAUGGAAGCUGGCAUAAAAAAACAGCAGGGUAACACGGAAAUAUUCCGCGCUAUCGGAGCCAUAGAGCCCUUGAAAAAAGUCGCUAGUUGCCCGAACGCCGUUGCCUCCAAAUAUGCCGCCCAAGCUUUGAGGCUAAUCAACGAAGAAAUUCCCCAUAAAUUGAGUCAGCAGGUGCCGUUGUGGUCAACCGAAGAUGUCAGAGAGUGGGUCAAACAAAUUGGUUUCGCCGAGUACGCCACGAACUUCGUGGAAUCUCGCGUCGAUGGCGAUUUGUUGUUGCAGCUGACGGAAGAAAAUUUGCGCGAGGACAUCGGUCUCACCAACGGUAUAAGACGCAGACGUUUCACUCGAGAAUUACAGAAUCUCAAAAAAAUGGCUGAUUACAGCAGUCGUGACAUCGGCAAUUUAAACAGCUUUUUACAACAAAUCGGAGCUGAAUUUUCCAUUUAUACUUAUGGCAUGCUCAACGCCGGCGUCGACAAAGAAUCGAUCAGGAAUAUAUCCGAGGAUCAAUUGUUGAGCGAAUGCGGUAUUACCAACAGCAUUCACAGAUUGCGAAUUCUCGAUGCCAUCAAAAAUGGUCAAUCGAAUUCAUUCAGCCCCUGCGGACCGGACGAAUCGCCGGAUAAAUCACUCGAUGUUUUCGUCAGUUAUCGUCGAUCCAACGGCUCACAAUUGGCCAGUCUUCUUAAGGUACAUCUACAAUUACGCGGAUUUUCCGUUUUUAUCGAUGUCGAAAGGCUCGAAGCUGGAAAGUUCGAUAACAAUCUUCUGCAAAGCAUUCGACAAGCCAAACACUUUUUAUUGGUACUCACACCUAAAGCUCUUGAAAGAUGCACCCAGGAUACCGAGGGCAAAGACUGGGUUCACAGAGAAAUCGUUGCAGCGUUGCAAUCACAAUGUAACAUUAUUCCGAUAAUCGAUAACUUCCAAUGGCCCGAACCUGAAGAAUUACCCGAAGACAUGAGAGCAGUUUGUCAUUUCAAUGGUGUUCGAUGGAUUCACGAUUACCAAGACGCCUGCGUAGACAAAUUGGAAAGGUUCAUGCGCUUAGAAACACCGGUACGUUCUGAAUUAUCGAGCGGAAUAUAUCGUGGAAUCGGGUCGAAGGAAGUUACGACACCGAGCACACCGGGAAGCACAAACAUGCGGCAACCCCCAAAUUAUCAGCGAAUGCACAGUAAUGAGAGCCGAGGAAGCGACAAAGAUUCUACGAAUGGUCGAGAUUGACUAGAGGGCCCGCCCACAGCCAUACCAAGCAGCGGGGAUCGAUCGGAAUAAAUCGUAUAGAAAGAAAGUAAACAAAAACGGGAAGAUCGAAAUUAAAAUGCGUUCGGAUCUCAAUAGGCUUCGUAAAUCAUCGAGUCCGUCGCAUUGGCUGAUGAGCAUGCCACCAACGUCUCCGCGUCUUAAAUUCAUUCACACCCAUCCGGGAAGAAGUCCGAUACCUCGUCGUCCUCCUCGACAUCCAUCUUCGCCAUCGGUGCGUUCUCGUUCGCUGGAGUUGCUCGAUCGAACAGAACGUAAAACUGUAAAGCCGGUGAACAAACCUGAGCCACUGCCACGUCCAAGAUCUCGAAGUCUCGAUGGACUCCUCGACGACGACGGCCUCGUCGAAACUCCGGAAACGUCCGCGAAGAGACGUUCUCGGAGUCCAAUUGGUACAACCGUCGAGAAUUUAAAAGGCACGAAAAUAAUCGAGUGCAGCGAAGAAAGUUUGUCCGCGAAUGUGAUAGCAGCUGGGGAAGCACAAACUGCAGGCAACGAGCUAAAUCCGAUGCCCGUUCCGAGACUCCGAGUAAAAUUGAAUGGUGGCAAAAUCGAUUCAAUGGAGGCAACUAAACCGGAAGCACGACGAGGAAGUUCACGAGAUUCCUCGUCGUCGUCCGAAGAUUGCACGGAAAAACGGAGUUCGAACAAUUCUCAAACUCGUUCGACCAGCAAAGAGGUUGGCAAAGGAAUGAUUGAAGACGUUGCUGAAAAAAUUAUCGAGAACAGCUGUGAUAGGAACAAAUAUGAUGAAACGAUUUACGCGAUGAAAAAAGAAAAGCCUUGCACGACACUCCUCAAAGCGAAAAGCUGUGGCGCGGGUUUAGACGACAACGAAAUGUUUUCGUCCAACCACUACGAAGAUCAAGACAACUCGUGUAAAAACCUCAAUUCCCACAAUCAAAAGCAACAACAAAGAGGCUCGUUACUCUCUUUGCACGCAACUUCCGCCGCUGAUCCAAAAAGAAAGCGAAAUUUCAUGAACAAAUGUGUCAACAAAGUGAGAUCAUUGAUCAAGAAAUAAUCGAUCUAUCUAAUGCGAGGACAAAAAAUACAGACACAAAAAAGUGAUAUAGACUUAUAAAUUGAAUUUUUUACACACAAAGUGCUAAAUGAAACGAAGUGCUUUAAUGACGUUUGAACGCGACAAAGAGUCUUCUCAAUUUUUGUCGUUCGAGCUCUCCAACAAAAGAAUGCAGUUUUCAGGGCUUGACUACGAAAUAGAGAGGAACCUAUUGAAUAAUCGUUAAUUUAUUGUACACGUUAUAGAAUAUUUUCGUUUAUCAGGCAGCUAAGAAUUUGUUCCGAAUAUACAACGACUGGCAGCAUUGAGAGGAUGACAAAUAAUUGUGCCUAAGCUAAACGAACGUGUUUUCGUUGUAUGCCAUUUUUUUAUUAUGAAAAAUUUCGAAAAGUAUAACAGAUAGGCAGCUUUCACGGGUGCUUUUUAUAUUUCCUUUCAAAAACAGAAAAUGUAUUAUACUGUUCUUAUAUAAGUAGGGUAAUCAUUGUAUUGUUAAUUCUUUUUACUAUUUUUUUUUUAGUUAUUUUAAUCACCGACUACGCGAUAUUUUAUUAUGGUUAUCAUUUUUCGAUGCAGCUACAAACGACUGUUGAACAUGUAUUUUCGGUUUGUUUUAAUGAUUAUUUCAUUUUGUAUUUUAGACAUUCAUUGUAAGCCGUAAUUUAGAGUAUUUUUAUCAUUUUAAGGUAUUAGACAACUUUCGUCGGAGAAAGCGAUUCUAGGUUAUUAUGUUGACAUAAUUAUACAUAGAUCUAUUUAUAUACAUGAAUAUAUUAUUAUAUACACUAUUUAAGAACCAUUACCCAUAUUUUACCAAAGGUUCACCACAGUGGAGAAUGUAUGUUUUUUUUUCGAAAUCUUCCCUCUGCUUGUUUCGCGACUAAAUUUUUUUAUGGAAAUGAAAAUAAAGAAAUGAGGAAGGAAGAAACA